rnacentral:rRNA from 1 species
AAAAGAAACUAACAAGGAUUCCCCUAGUAACUGCGAGUGAAGCGGGAAAAGCUCAAAUUUAAAAUCUGGCGGUUUCACCGUCCGAGUUGUAAUCUAGAGAAGUGUUAUCCGUGCUGGACCGUGUACAAGUCUCUUGGAAUAGAGCGUCAUAGAGGGUGAGAAUCCCGUCUUUGCCACGGACUGCCAGUGCAUUGUGAUGCGCUCUCAACGAGUCGAGUUGUUUG